GUCCACGCCCUAAACGAUGGAUACUAAGUGUCGGCGGGUUACCGCCGGUGCCGCAGCUAACGCAGUAAGUAUCCCGCCUGGGGAGUACGGCCGCAAGGUUGAAACUCAAAGGAAUUGACGGGGCCCGCACAAGCGGUGGAGCAUGUGGUUCAAUUCGACGCAACGCGAAGAACCUUACCCAGGCUGGACAAGCAGGUAGUAAAAACCUGAAAGGGCAAUGAGGUAGCAAUACCAUCCUGCUCAGGUGCUGCAUGGCUGUCGU
rnacentral:rRNA from 1 species